UACGUAGGGACCGAGCGUUGUCCGGAUUCAUUGGGCGUAAAGAGCUCGUAGGCGGCUGCUCAAGUCGAAUGUGAAAACUCGAGGCUCAACCUCGAGCCUGCAUUCGAUACUGGGCGGCUAGAGUCUGGUAGGGGGAUCUGGAAUUCCUGGUGUAGCGGUGAAAUGCGCAGAUAUCAGGAGGAACACCAGUGGCGAAAGCGACUUCCUGGACCAAUACUGACGCUCAUGUGCGAAAGCGUGGGGAGCAAACAGG
rnacentral:rRNA from 1 species